UGGUCGUUGGUUGUCUCCACCUAGCGUUAAGAAUUGUAAACUCUUCUUUGGAUUAAGAAAGGAAACAAACAGAAUGCGAAUCACAAUAACAACGUCAGGAAAGUGUUCAGUGAUGAAACUCAUUAACUCAAAUCUUGCAGCAAAAGAAAUUCGUUUUUCAGUGAGAAAAGGUUUUUACCCCUGCUGCAACAGAAUGUGGAGCAAUUUGUGACACAUGGUGUUAGGAAUACCACAAUAUCUUCAAUAAUUUUCUCGCUGUUGAAGAUUUUUGGGAGUGUGAGCUCAACCAACUUGUAUACUGUGUACAUCCGUUCCCCAAAUUCUUUCGAAUGGUAUUUUUAUUAUCACCCUGGCAUUAAUUAAUCGUAUUCACUGCUUGGACUUGUGGAUCUUGAAACUCAAAGUGCCGCAGACCUUCUCUGCAUUCCACACAUAUUUCCUUUCUUCGAUGACCAUUAGAAGAAAACCGGAUGUGACAGGUGUAGAGAACUUGAUGUCAUCACAAUUUCACUGAUAAGCUAAAUGGAGCAGUAGUAAUUCAUUUGCUAUAAAUUGUAAUUUUAUUUUCAUGACUACCUGCAGCUUUUUUUCAAUUCCUCUAAUACAGCGAAAUAUUUUUCGUCAAAGUUAGCAAAAAUGUGACGAGCUCUUACUUUGGGGUAUGGCAAGGAAGUCUCACGGACUAAUGUCCCUAUCCCUCUGUGGUGUUUUUCCGUCCUCAAAGCAACAUUGCAGUUCAUGGCAGAAUAGGUGAUCCCCGUUUGGAGAAUUUUUUCAACACCAAAUAUCGCAGCCCUCGCAUUCAUGUAUUGUAGUUAUGCCUCCGUUGGCUUGACGAAGUGCACUGAAUUUUGCUCCAGGUUGUCACUAUUAAAUUUACGAGUAAGUACAAACUGAAAUCCCACUUAAAGUAAAUGUUCGAUUUUGGCAAUUGUAGAUUUAGUAGUUAUUACGAUGGCCUCGUACAUUUCAUCAGAAAGAAAAUGAUUUUUUUCUUCAGCGUUCAUCUUCCAUUUUUCUAACCAUUUGAUGAAAUCUCGCAGCCACUGCAGUCGAAGAUCAUAUUUUGAGGUGAAUGGUGCUUUAUUUGGUAGGCGCUUGUGAAUUGCUUGCGUAACAUUGCAUAUAACAUGUAUUUCAAACCAUUUUAUGAUUUUUAUGAGGAAUGAAAUAGUUUCUUCACUGCCCAAGAAUCCGGACACCUUUAACCGGCGAUACGAUUCUAAAGUUUUUAGCCAUCGGACGGCUAAAAAUAUCCAGCGCCCGUUGCUCGUUUUUGUCUCUCGAUUUUGGUAGGCUCCAGGUGUCUUUGGGUAAGUUUUCUCACUGGCUGAAGAAACUUUUUUUUUCAUGUAGUCUCCUUAUGAAACGAAACGAUAUGUCUUUACCGUUUCUUUUCAAUGGUCGGUCAAUGAAUUGGUUUCGUAGGUUUUUAAUGAUAUGGGAAGAGUCAAAGCUGACACAAAAUUUUUUUUCUUCGUUGUUGGGAUGGGUAUUACAUGACUAACCUUACCUCCAGGGUUAAGCAUUUUGAACAUUUUUUUGUUAAUUGAAGCACCGCCACUAUUCCUUCGAUGGAAUAGCCGACGGACUCGACUUCUUUGAACGUGUGUUUCGAUCAUUGACUCAGUUCUUCUGCUGUUAAGUUGGCUAAGAGAAAGUAGCCAACUAUUAUGCAAAACGAAUGCGACAGUCCAUUGAUGGCAAAUGUCAAUAGUUUGUUUGCUAGUUUACCGACUUCUUUUGGCUGUACCACUCGUCUGGCUUGAUCGCCACCUCAUCCACAACAAUAUCCUUUAAAGCCAAAUCAGUGAGCCUGACGUCCACCGUUGAGGAUCCAGUGUAUCGUCGCAGCGUCUUGUGAGAAAAGGGCGAAGUACCUGCUGCUGUAACCGCAAAAGAUUGUACUUCAGCUCAGUUUUCACAUGGGAUUCAUCAUUAUCAGCGGAUAAGUCGCUUGCUGCAUCAACGGAUAAGUCGCUCGCUUCAUCAGCGGAAAAGUCGGUUGCUUCCAUCGUACUUGGAUCAUGUUCAGAAUCGGAAUCGUCCGACUACGAUUCUGAUUCAGCAUCGCAAUCCCAUGAGGAGCUACUACCCUCCAAAAAGGAUUCGGUAUCGUCGUCGUCAUUGACAGCAGACUUAUUUAUUAGACUUGAUUUAUAGAUAUAUUAUUUUUUUGAUUUAUUAGACUAUAGCUAAUUUUUAUAAUCAACUUAUUAAAUUUAAAAAAAAAAUUGUUGGCCGACGUAAGAAUCGUCAAAGUGUCCCGUCCUCUAGCUUAAGUAGUCCAUGACCAAAGUUGCAAGUCUUCCUGUCAGUGAAUAUCUAUGGUGUCUUUCUCUGUGUGUAUCUGAACUUCAAGCUGACAGGUUACAUAUAAUUUAAGUAAUAAAGACUACUGUUGAAAGAAAACACUCCGCGGUUUAUUCCUUUCAACAGCAUUUGUAUUUGUAAUAUUAUUUUAAAUUUAAUAUUGUCUUGAGUGUUAGCCAACCUUUUGGACUUUACCAACAACUGUGGGUUCAUCGGAUUCAUCAAGAUCGCAUUAA